AGCGAACGCUGGCGGCAGGCCUAACACAUGCAAGUCGAACGAAGCCUUCGGGCUUAGUGGCGGACGGGUGAGUAACACGUGGGAACGUACCUUUUGGUUCGGAACAACUCCGGGAAACUUGAGCUAAUAUCGGAUGAGCCCUUAGGGGGAAAGAUUUAUCGCCGAAAGAGCGGCCCGCGUUAGAUUAGCUAGUUGGUGAGGUAAAGGCUCACCAAGGCAACGAUCUAUAGCUGGUCUGAGAGGAUGAUCAGCCACACUGGGACUCAGACACGGCCCAGACUCCUACGGGAGGCAGCAGUGGGGAAUCUUGCGCAAUGGGCGAAAGCCUGACGCAGCCAUGCCGCGUGAAUGAUGAAGGUCUUAGGAUUGUAAAAUUCUUUUACCAGGGACGAUAAUGACGGUACCUGGAGAAAAAGCCCCGGCUAACUUCGUGCCAGCCGCCGCGGUAAAAC
rnacentral:rRNA from 1 species